rnacentral:rRNA from 1 species
CAGCAGCCGCGGGAAUACGAAGGGGGCUAGCGUUGUUCGGAUUUACUGGGCGUAAAGCGCACGUAGGCGGAUCGAUCAGUCAGGGGUGAAAUCCCAGAGCUCAACUCUGGAACUGCCUUUGAUACUGUCGAUCUGGAGUAUGGAAGAGGUGAGUGGAAUUACGAGUGUAGAGGUGAAAUUCGUAGACAUUCGGAGGAACACCAGUGGCGAAGGCGGCUAACUGGUCCAUUACUGACGCUGAGGUGCGAAAGCGUGGGGAGCAAACAGGAUUAGAUACCCCGGUAGUCCCUGUCUCUUAUAC